rnacentral:rRNA from 1 species
AACGAACGCUGGCGGCAUGCCUAACACAUGCAAGUCGAACGAGACCUGCGGGUCUAGUGGCGCACGGGUGCGUAACGCGUGGGAACCUGCCCUUAGGUUCGGAAUAACUCCCCGAAAGGGGUGCUAAUACCGGAUAAUGUCUUCGGACCAAAGAUUUAUCGCCUUUGGAUGGGCCCGCGUUGGAUUAGCUAGUUGGUAGGGUAAAAGCCUACCAAGGCGACGAUCCAUAGCUGGUCUGAGAGGAUGAUCAGCCACACUGGGACUGAGACACGGCCCAGACUCCUACGGGAGGCCGCAGUGGGGAAUAUUGGACAAUGGGCGAAAGCCUGAUCCAGCAAUGCCGCGUGAGUGAUGAAGGCCUUAGGGUUGUAAAGCUCUUUUACCCGGGAUGAUAAUGACAGUACCGGGAGAAUAAGCUCCGGCUAACUCCGUG